AUGAGGAGACGGAAUUGGUUGGGAAACCCCUCUUGUUCCUUCUUUGAGUGUAGAGAGACAUCCCGGCAUCUGUUUUUCACCUGUCCGGUGGCUAGAGUUAUGUGGAGGACGGUUGGGUGUGUGCUGGGAACAGACCUUUGCCCGAACAACAUCUAGCAGUACUUUUCUUGGUGUUUUUGCUUCCUACCCGAUGGGGAGAGAAUCUAUACUUUUGGGCUGGCCGCUCUUUGUUGGGCCAUGUGGAAUUGCUGUAAUAGAACGACCUUUGAGUUCAAGAAGAUGAGUUCUCCUUUUGAUGUGAUCUACGUUGCUUGUGGCUUUAUUACUUAUUGGGCAGGUAUGCUGAAGGGAUAAGACCGCGAAGCGAUGGAGAGGGGAGCCAAGAUGCUGAGAGGCAAUGCUGGGAACAUGAUGCGCAUUUGCGCGGCCCCGGGGAGGAUCAACUGA
rnacentral:rRNA from 1 species